rnacentral:rRNA from 1 species
UACGAAGGGGGCUAGCGUUGCUCGGAAUGACUGGGCGUAAAGGGCGCGUAGGCGGUGCCACAAGUCACCUGUGAAAUCUCCGGGCUUAACUCGGAGCCUGCAGGCGAAACUGUGGUGCUGGAGUGUGGGAGAGGUGCGUGGAAUUCCCGGUGUAGCGGUGAAAUGCGUAGAGAUUAGGAAGAACACCAGUGGCGAAAGCGGCGCACUGGACCACAACUGACGCUGAGGCGCGAAAGCUAGGGGAGCAAACAGG